rnacentral:rRNA from 1 species
UACGUAGGGUGCAAGCGUUGUCCGGAAUUAUUGGGCGUAAAGAGCUCGUAGGCGGUUUGUCGCGUCUGCUGUGAAAACGCGAGGCUCAACCUCGCGCCUGCAGUGGGUACGGGCAGACUAGAGUGCGGUAGGGGAGAUUGGAAUUCCUGGUGUAGCGGUGGAAUGCGCAGAUAUCAGGAGGAACACCAAUGGCGAAGGCAGAUCUCUGGGCCGUAACUGACGCUGAGGAGCGAAAGCGUGGGGAGCGAACAGG